CCCGAUUACCUGAAACUGCUGUUCCGGCUAAGGAAACAACUUACAUGUGCAUAACUUUCGAAUUUCCAAGUGUUGAAAGUCACGUGGUAGCAUUUCAACCUAUUAUUGACAACGAAUACGUGAUGCAUCAUAUAGUUGUAUUCAGCUGCAAAGACGAUACCACGAUUGAUAACACUGCAUACGUUUGUGGAAUGACACCUGGUCAAGGAUGCAUGGAUAUGAUAGCAACAUGGUCGUUUGGAAUGGAUGGGCAAUGUUUACACAAAGACAGCGGAAUUCUCAUUGGAGGAACUAAAGGAAUCAAGAAAGUUGCAAUACAGUACCAUUGGGAUAACCCUGAAAAUAGAGCUAAAGAAACUGACUCCUCCGGCUUUGUUUUCUACUUAACUCCAAAACUCAGCCCCUACAACUCUGGUAUUUUAACAAUUGGACAAAUGUUCCUGGAUAUCCCACCUGGACAAGAAAGCCACAGAGCUGUAGGCGUAUGUUCUUCAGACUGUACCCCGUUCAUUCUCACUGACAGUAUAACUGUUACAUCUGUGUUUAAUCAUAUGCAUUAUCUGGGUCGUUCUCAAAUGACGGAAUUAAGAAGGGACGGUGUGUUUGUUACUGACCUCGGAAACGACACACAUUAUAGUUACGACUAACCUGUGCUGCACAUAUUUGAAAAAGGGGUAGAUAUAUAUCCUGGCGACGAGCUUCGGACCAUGUGUGUCUUCGACUCGACAUCAAGGGAAACAACUACAAAUUACGGAUAUGAAACAAGAGAUGAAAUGUGUUUUUCAAUCUUCAGCUAUUUCCCCGUCGAAAAUGUCAAAUACGGUUGCACUUCAUGGAAACGCAUCGGCACAUGUGAUUGGCAAGGAACUGGUAAAGUUAAAGGAUGCGAUUUGACGUCCUUGCGACUGGAGAAUCCGGAGAUGCAGCAGCUCAUAUCAAAUGUUACCAGUAGGUGUGUGCUGGGGUUUUGUAAAGCUGGAUGCUUACUAUAUGUGCGUGACUUGAAGAAGAUGCCAUGUUUCAUGGGAGACGUAGAUAUAUACGUAAGACAUCAUAUCUUGACAGGCGACCCAGAAGGUGCUGCAUCCAAACUCUUAAGUAGCUUUUAUGCUGCCUUUUACUCAUGCGACAGAGAAUUGCUGAACGAUGAGAUCAAGGAACUGGAAACUGCAUUUUGUUUGGAAAUGAAAGAGGCCGAUGAGAGAUGUAGUGCUGAAAAGGCUUUAGCGAUAGAAAACUGCUGUGAAGAAAAUAUGUGCGACGAAGAGUGCAAGGUUAAUUCCGUUAGAAUGAUAAUAUCUAAUGCUUACAUACUUGUCUUUGUCGCACUGCAUUUGUUCUUUUGACUAUCAUUUUCAACCAGCAUUUAUAUUCCCACCACACCAUUAUUUCACAGCACAUUGAUAAAUAACAGUUUAAUAACACAAUCAUAUGUAAUUCAUUAUCAUACAGUGACUGCCGUUGUAGAUUUGUUAUAGUCGCUGGCCAGUACCGGUGUUGUUUUGAAUGAUGGACUAAAGGAUACACCUUUGAGUUGGAUUGAAUCAUACCUAAGUCAGAGAACAAUGCAGGUUGUAGUGAAUCAUAAAUUUUACAGAGUAGUCAAUCUUCCGUAUGGGGUUCCUCAGGGGUCCUGCGCUGGUCCAGUUAUUUUUACAAUGUAUAUUGUUGCGCUAAACAAGGUAGUGCGUAAUUACCCUGUUAAAGUGUAUGGAUAUGCAGAUGAUCACAAGCUUGCUAUAAGGGGUCUGUGCUGGAGAUGUUGGCAGCGAGAGCUCUAUAUUAAACAAUCUAAAUUAGUGUCUUCAGGAUGUUAUAAUCUGAAUGAAAAAUCAUAAAAUGAAUAUGAACAAUUCUAAAACAGAAGUUAUAGUCCAUGAAACAAAAAAUCAUCUUUCAAAGCCAAAUAUCUCAUCUGUUGAGGUUGGUGGAGUUCUGGUAAAAUGUGUUGAUCAUGUAAGAGAUUUGGGUGUUCGGGCUGAAAAUGACUUAAACUCUGAUCGUCACAUUAGAAAUAAAUGCCAAAUUGCCAGUAACCAAUUGAAUGGUAUUAGAGGCCAUUUAACAAAGAAAAAUACAGAAACUUUGGUACAUGGAUUGAUGCACUCACACCAAGAUUUUUGUAACGGUCUGUUUACGGCCAUUCCAGAAUAUUAGUUAGACAGAUUGCAGAAAGUACAAAAUCAUGCGGCAAGAAUAGUAAUGCAAACUCAGUAUUAUGAAAAUAUUACACCGGUUCUCAAAGCUUUGCACUGGCUUCCUGUACGAGCAAGAAUGAUGUUUAAUGUUCUUGUGCUUCUUUUUACAUGUGUUGUGGGAACUGCCCCAAUUUAUCUGCAAAUAUGAUUAAAAAUUUUCAGUGUGGAUAUGGUUUAAGAUCUAAAAAUAAAUCAUCAUAAAUAUCAAAACCCAGAACAAAAACUUGUUUAGCAGAUAGAUCAUUUGAAAGGACCAAAAUGGUAGAAUGAGCUACCCGACAAACUUUGACAAAUUAGAGAGGAAGAUUAAUUUAGACAUUGUCUUAAGACACAUUUGUUCUCAAAGUUUUAUUACACUUAAAUUAUCACUUGGAUUG